rnacentral:rRNA from 1 species
CUAUACAUGACUCUGCGCAUAUCAAUAAAGCGGAGGAAAAGAAACUAACAAGGAUUCCCUUAGUAACGGCGAGUGAAGCGGGAAGAGCUCAAAUUUGAAAUCUUCAAGGUUCUACCUUGACGAAUUGUAGUUUAUAGAAGUGUUUUCUGUUAGUAGAGUGGCAAAAGUUCUUUGGAAUAGGACAUCAUAGAGGGUGAGAAUCCCGUAUUUGGUCAUUCUUUCUAGCUUUGUGAUACACUUUCAACGAGUCGGAUUGUUUGGGAAUGCAGUCCAAAAUGGGUGGUAAAUUUCAUCUAAAGCUAAAUAUUGGCGAGAGACCGAUAGCGAACAAGUACCGUGAGGGAAAGAUGAAAAGAACUUUGAAAAGAGAGUUAAACAGUACGUGAAAUUGUCAAAAGGGAAGCGUUUGACACCAGUGUUGUUUUUCCGAAAAUCAAUUACGAAUGUUUUAGUUUUUGAGAAGUUAUGACUUCAUCGGCUUGCUUCUCUCUUUAUGAAACUUUCUUAAUGCACUUUUACGGUUAACAAGUCAACAUCAAUUUCUUUUGUUGUAAAAGGGUAUGAGGAAGGUGGCUUUCUUUUCGGAGAAAGUGUUUAUAGCCUUGUACCUCUGCAAUCGGAGAGAUUGAGGUCUGCAGCGUAGAUCCUUCGGGGUUAGAUACAUUUGUGCUAAGUUAUAGCUUUUCAUAGACAACUUGUUGACUAUGUUUAGUCUUGUAGCUUACUCGCUUAUGCUAUUUUACCUACGCUUAGGAUGUUGAUAGUCACAGCGUGUAC